rnacentral:rRNA from 1 species
GACGAACGCUGGCGGCGUGCUUAACACAUGCAAGUCGAACGGUGAAGCGCCUUCCUUUUUGGUGGGUGUGGAUGAGUGGCGAACGGGUGAGUAACACGUGAGUAACCUGCCCCCUUCUUCUGGAUAACCGCAUGAAAGUGUGGCUAAUACGGGAUAUUCUGGGUCUGUCGCAUGAUGGGUCUGGGAAAGAUAUUGUUUCGGUGGGGGAUGGGCUCGCGGCCUAUCAGCUUGUUGGUGGGGUGAUGGCCUACCAAGGCGGUGACGGGUAGUCGGCCUGAGAGGGUGGACGGUCACACUGGGACUGAGACACGGCCCAGACUCCUACGGGAGGCAGCAGUGGGGAAUAUUGCACAAUGGGCGCAAGCCUGAUGCAGCGACGCCGCGUGAGGGAUGGAGGCCUUCGGGUUGUGAACCUCUUUCGCCAGUGAAGCAGGCCUGCCUCGUUUGUGGGUGGGUUGACGGUAGCUGGAGAAGAAGCGCCGGCUAACUACGUG